CCGUGACCCAAGCACCUCGCACUGGACAGAAGGCGAUGCAGACAGGCCGGGUCCUCGGGAGCAGCUGGAGGGAGAGAGAAGAGGCAGUCAGAUGUGUGUUUCCUGGCACAUGAUGGAGGGCCUUGAUUCCUGGUUUCUGGGCAGGCACAGCCUGAGGAGGGCCUGCACAGAGCUGAAAAGCAUCCAAAGCGGCCGGUUUCCUGGAAACAUCUAUUUUAAGGAAGAUUUGAGAAGCUUCUAA
rnacentral:lncRNA from 1 species